GGAAUAGAGGCCAUCAUGGCAGUAAGUGACAGGCAUGGUGGCAGAAGCAGGAAGCUGGAAGAGAUCACAUCUUCAACCACAACCAUAAAACAGAGACAGUAAAGUGCCAGAGGGGACAAGCUAUGAACUCUCAAACCUGCCCCCAGUGACAUCCUUCCUCCAGCAUGGCUGUACCAUUUCAUCAAACAGCACUGCCAACUGGGGACCAAAGGUUCAAAUAUUCAAGCCUGUGUGGGACAUUUUUAUUCAAACCACCACACUGUGAUGAAGAGAAGUCAUCUGCAUUUCUCUUCCCUGAAAUUGAAGGUGCAGUGUGUGAUGGUUAAUUUCCUUGGUCAACUUUAUUGGACUGAGAAAUGCCUAGGGCACUGAGGCAUGCCUUUGGGUGUGCUUAUGAGUUCUUUUCUACAAAGGGUUAACUGAUGGGGUUUGUCAUGGAGAAAGGGCUGAAGCAGGAGAUGGAGACACCAUAGCACGUACUGCAGAGUAAUGUACAUGUAAAAUUCAGUGCUGUGGAAACAGCUCUGCCCUUCCUGA
rnacentral:lncRNA from 1 species